UACGAAGGGGGCUAGCGUUGUUCGGAAUUACUGGGCGUAAAGCGUAUGCAGGCGGACUUUUAAGUCGGGGGUGAAAUCCCGAGGCUCAACCUCGGAACUGCCUUCGAUACUGGAAGUCUUGAGUCCGGGAGAGGUGAGUGGAACUCCGAGUGUAGCGGUGAAAUGCGUAGAUAUUGGGAGGAACACCAGUGGCGAAGGCGGCUUACUGGACCGGAACUGACGCUGAGGCGCGAAAGCGUGGGGAGCAAGCGGG
rnacentral:rRNA from 1 species